rnacentral:lncRNA from 1 species
UAUUGGGCAAUAUGGGACGAUGUGCUGGGCUGUGGGUGCUAUGGGGCGGUGUGGGGCUCUGCUGGUGGUAUGGGGCUGUGUGGGCGCUGUGGGUCCCUGUGGGUCUCUAUGGGUUUCCAUAUGUCCCUAUGUGUCCCUAUAGGUCUCUAUGGGUCUCUAUGGGUUCCUAUGGGUCUAUGGGUCCGUAUGGGUCCCAAUGUGUUCCUAUGGGUCCCUGUGGGUCUCUGUGGGUCCCUAUGGGUCUCUAUGGGUCCCUAUGGGUCCCUGUGCGUCCCUAUAUUGGUGGGUCUCUAUGGGUCCCUAUGGGUCUCUAUGGGUCCCUGUGGGUCCCUUUGCUCCCUAUGGGUCCCUACGGGUCCCUGUGGGUCCCUAUGGUCCCUGUGGGUCCCUAUGGGUCCCUAUAGGUCUCUAUGGGUCUCUAUGGGUCUCUAUGGGUCUCCAUGUGUUCCUAUGGGUCCCUAUGGUCGCUAUGGGUCUCUAUGGGUGUCUAUGGGUCCCUAUGGGUCUCUAUGGGUCUCUGUGGGUCACUAUGGUGUCUUUGGGGUCCCUAUGGGUCUCUAUGGGUCUAUGGGUCCCUAUGGGUGUCUAUGGGUCUGUGGGUCUCUGUGGGUCCCUAUGGUCUCUAUGGGUCACUAUGGGUCUCGAUGAGUCCCUAUGGGUCUCUAUGGGUCUCCAUGUGUUCCUAUGGGUCCCUAUGGUUGCUAUGGGUCUCUAUGGGUUCCUAUGGGUCUGUGGGUCCCUAUGUGUCCCUAUGGUCCCUAUGGUCCCUGUGGUCCCUAUGUGUCCCUAUUGUCCCUGUGGUCCCUGUGGUCCCUACGGCCGCCGUGCGUCCCUGCAGAACCGCUUCCUGAGCGGCGUUUACCCGGCGUCGCCGUCGUGGUGGCUGGCGCUGCUGGCGGCGACGGGCGGCGCGCUGAGCCUCCGCCUGGAUCCGUCCUUCGGCGUCAUCGGCCGCAUCCGCGCCGCCCUGCCGGAAUGGUGGGCGGGGGGACAAGGGGGGGGAAACGGCACCCACCGAGACCCCCACCCAAAUCCCGGCCCCAAAUCCCAGCCCCACAUCCCUGUCCUGCAUCCCAACCCCACAUCCCAACCCCACAUCCCAACCCCACAUCCUCUUCCCUCCCCUUUCCCCUUCCCUUCCCCCUCCUUUUCCCUUUCCCCUUUCCCUUUCCCUUUCCUUUUCCCUUUCUCUUCCCUUUCCCCUUCCCCUUCCCCUUCCCCUUCCCCUCCUCUCCCUUCCCUUCC